GCGAUGGUGGUAUAGCGGUGAGCAUAGCUGCCUUCCAAGCAGUUGACCCGGGUUCGAUUCCCGGCCAUCGCA
rnacentral:tRNA from 1 species